GUGGGGAAUUUUGGACAAUGGGCGCAAGCCUGAUCCAGCAAUGCCGCGUGCAGGAAGAAGGCCUUCGGGUUGUAAACUGCUUUUGUACGGAACGAAACGGUCCUGGCUAAUAUCCGGGGCUAAUGACGGUACCGUAAGAAUAAGCACCGGCUAACUACGUGCCAGCAGCCGCGGUAAUACGUAGGGUGCGAGCGUUAAUCGGAAUUACUGGGCGUAAAGCGUGCGCAGGCGGUGCUGUAAGACAGGCGUGAAAUCCCCGGGCUUAACCUGGGAACUGCGUUUGUGGCUGCAAGGCUAGAGUACGGCAGAGGGGGGUGGAAUUCCUGGUGUAGCAGUGAAAUGCGUAGAUAUCAGGAGGAACACCGAUGGCGAAGGCAGCCCCCUGGGCCUGUACUGACGCUCAUGCACGAAAGCGUGGGGAGCAAACAGGAUUAGAAACCCCAGUAGUCC
rnacentral:rRNA from 1 species